rnacentral:lncRNA from 1 species
UCGCUGUAUUUCAAUUUAGCAAAACUUUGGCCAGGAUAAUCUAUCAGAUGGAUUUGAUAUUUUGAAAUACAAUGUGGACAACCUGAUCAGAGUUGACAAUUGAACUCUAAGGUGUCUUAUGAGCAUUUUGGUCAAGGAGAUGAAUUAUAUGAAAACUAUAUCCGCAUGAGUUCUAAGGAUGUUGUUCUACACAUUCGACCUAUCCGACCGUCGAGUACCAUUGCUAGAUGGUCACUUCGAUUGGUACAAAAAUUUAUUUCUGUACUACCGACUUAGGUUCGGACCUAUGAGGUCACACAUAUUAGAGUUCACGAUC